CCUAUAAAUAUUGGUUGCAAUCUUCACACGAUAUAGAGUGAGUGAGAGAGAGAAAGAAAGAAAGAUCAUCUUCAAAUGAAGCCAUUGUGGUUCAUUUUGCUCUUGUUUUUCAUUAUUCUUCUCUUCCAAGCAUAUAAUUCUUCCGCUGGCAGGUCAGAAAAUUGUACAUCUCCACCUCCAUCUCCGGAAGAGAGCAACUCUCCUGUUGGUCGUUAUUCUGUUCAGAAUCCAUAGUGUACGAUGGUUCACUACAUAUAAUAAUAACUAAAAUUGUUAUGUGAGAAAAAAAAAAUUAGGGAACAACUAAAAACAACAUUUUGUUCUCAAAAUUUUCUAUUUUUUUUGUAACUUUGUUUUUUGAAAAUAAUGUCAAACGCCACUACUUGUUUUCAGAAAAUAAUUUUUAGAUUUUAAAAACGAAAAACAAUUUUUUAGUUAAAAAGCCGAACACCCUCCAAAUCGUUCUCAUCUGGUGUUGGUUUUCUAACAAUUAUCAUUCUUCCUUUUGGUGAAGUCAAAGACUACAAUCAUUUUCUUCAAGCCAAUUGAAUUCGCCUAUUGUGCAAAUGAUUUAAUCCUCAAUGAUAUAUCUUGUAGUCUUUGUGUCAAACUUGGAUUAACACAAAGCACUCGUUGGAACUUGAAUGACACAAAGUUCAACACUUGAUGGAAUGCAUGAAGAUUUGUGACAAAGUGGCAUAAGUCUUUUGAAAAUCAAAGAAUGAACUUCUUCUUCCUUAGUAAAGAAUAAAUUUUAAAAA